CACGGGGGGAGCAAGCGUUGUUCGGAAUCACUGGGUGUAAAGGGCGUGUAGGCGGUUAGGUAAGUGGGAUGUGAAAGCCCCCGGCUCACCCGGGGACCUGCAUUCCAAACUGCCUGACUUGAGUAUGGGAGAGGAUAGGGGAAUUCCUGGUGUAGCGGUGAAAUGCGUAGAUAUCAGGAGGAACACCGGUGGCGAAGGCGCCUAUCUGGCCCAAUACUGACGCUGAGGCGCGAAAGCUAGGGGAGCAAACGGG
rnacentral:rRNA from 1 species